rnacentral:lncRNA from 1 species
GUUCCCUCCCACCCAGCCCACUUUUCCCCAACCCUGGAAACAGACGAACAACCCAAACUCAAUUUCCCCCAAAAGCCAAAAAUAUGGGAGAUAAUUUCACAUGGACUUUGGAAAACAUUUUUUUUCCUUUGCAUUCACCUUUCAAACUUAGUUUUUACCUUUGACCAACUGAACGUGACCAAAAACCAAAAGUGCAUUCAACCUUACCAAAAAAGAAAAAAAAAAAAAGAAUAAAUAAAUAACUUUUUAAAAAAGGAAGCUUGGUCCUCUUGCUUGAAGACCUAUGUGGGUAUAAGUCCCUUCCUGCCCACUUGGCUUAUGAUACCCUAAUGCUGCCUUUUCUGCUCCUUUCUCCACCCCCUCUUGGGGCCUCUCCUCCAUUGCUCCCCAAAUUUAAGUCUCCCCCAAGACACAGGAAAUAAUGCAUUGUCUGCCCAGCAAACAAAGGCAAUGCUGAAAUGUCCCACCAGCCCCUCAACCCCGUCUACUUCCCUACCCAGCACCCUCAAAUCCUGCUGGGACAUGGGGUUCUUGGACUGUUGAAGGAACCUAACCAUCUGGCAUCUCCAUGGCCUCUGCAACAAACCCCCCACUUUUUUCUCUCCCCCCCCCCCCAGGGAGGGCCUGUGCUUUGGGCAGCCACCUGCCCCUCUCAGGGGUUUGGAGCCAGGCAGGGUCACAGCAGACUGGAAACAUCGGACAUGCAUGUGCAGGCUGGGUGGGAGAGACCGUUCUAUUCCUCAGUGCAAUUGUGUUGCUGAAAGACUACCUCGUUCUUGUCUUUGUGUGUCACCGGGGCAACUGUGUGGGGGCGGGGAUGGGGGCAGGGUGGCAGCACGCCCAGUUUGGUAUCAAAGGUGCUACAUCUCUGUGAAGGGGUGGGGUGGGAAGGAAUUUCUGGUGCUAUAGAAGCUGAGAUGCUCCCUAGACCAGCAAAUGUUUCUUUUGUUCAAAGUAUUUUUUAUUCUUUUUUUUUUUUUUUUUAAUGGAUAGGGACUUGUGUGAAUUGUUGGGGUUUUUUUUUUUUUUUUUUUUGGUUUUGUUUUUUUUUGUUUUGUUUUGUUUUUUUUCCUGAAGGUGCUAUUUAACAAGGGAGAAGAGAGUGCGGGGACUUCACCCUGCCCACUCUCUACUCUCUCUCCACUCUUCUAGUUCCUGGGCCUAUCUGAUCUCUCUCUUUCUUCUGAAACCCUCCCCUCUUGCUGCUGCUCCCUCCCCUCUGCCUCUCUCUUGGUCUGUCCUGCAUCAGGGUUUCAGAGCACCACUUUCCAAAGCACAAAACAGUUUUUACCCCUGGGCUGGGAGGAAACAAGAGACUCUGUACCUAUUUUGUAUGUGUAUAAUAAUUUGAGAUGUUUUUAAUUAUUUUGAUUGCUGGAAUAAAGCAUGUGGAAAUGACCC